UGUACUUUUAUGCCAAUUGGAAUUAAAACUAAUGUUUUUUAAUUUUGUAGACGAAGUUACUACCUACAUGAAUCAACUAUAAAGACUUGAUCGACAAGGAUUUAAAACAGACUUAUGUGCAAAGGAAACAAUACCUUCUAUAGAGACUUGCACCCCUCGUUUGUCCCUUAUAUAAGGUAGGAACUUAUAGAACUUAUUUUUAAUAAUAAAUAAGAAUAGAAGUAGACGCAAUUAAUAAAUGUUGAUUUUCAAUUACAUUAAGUUAACUCCCUAUUAAUGGUAACCUGAAAUGUUUAUUAAUCCAGAAAAAAAUUCAUUUAUUAAAUUUCAAAACUUUCGCGCCUGAAUCCCCAAAAGUUGGUAUUGAAACCCUCUCGUCUCUGAUUGGUCGGUCAACAAUGCAUCUUUCAAGUGACGCCAUUCUUACAAAAUUUUCCUCUCAAACUUAGCUCCACAAUUUUUGGAAAUUUCUUAUAGUGAAAACGCAAGACCCUACGAUUUUUUUAUCAAAACGCGUUCUUUUAAUAGUCCGCUACAUGAGUAACUGGAAUGGAUUUUAUUAGUUUUUAAUUGUAAGACUUCAUCAACAUAUCAUCAAUACUCCACUACAAAGAUUUAAUUCACAUCAAGCUGAAAGCCUCCUUCAGUACAAAGGAAAUAGGACAUCCCUACAUCUCUGUUGAAGCUGCCAUCCACUGUCAUAACUUUUAAUUGGACUGAAAAUUAUACACCUUCGAAGUAAUGGCAACACCUACACUAACCAACUGGGAUGGACUCAAAUGAUAUGGACUUCUAAAAAGGCUUCUACUCCAUAUAUUAGGAUUAUAACGUACGUACUAGUCGACCCAAGUAAGAAUCAGGAUAAAAAACUAACAGCUUACAAGUACACCGUUUCACUACUGAUAUGAUGCUUCUCGAUGGUCCCCCACCACCACCCAGUCUCGCAUAGCAUUCGCUCCCCCUCCCACCAAGCAACACGGAGAGGAUGAGGACCCUGGACAUCCAACGCUGGAUAGAUUAAGGUUUCGGUGAACCCUAUAAGGUCUAGCCGACGCCUCAAAGUAGGUCACUAAUGAAUUUUGCUUCAAAUAGACCUGAGUGACAAGUUUUUAUAUUUCUAUUUUUGAUUUUUAUUACUUUGGGGCUAUAUUUGAUUUUCGUGCCCAAUAAGAUAAGUUACAAACUGUAAUUUAGUGUACUAUUGGGCUCCUCUGUUGGUCCAUUAUUACCCACUUUAGACGCUCCACGUGUUAGGGACCGACGUAUGCAGGUGCUGCGCCUGUGACGUCAAACUUUGAUUCUCAUUUGGGUUUUAUAAUGAUUAGCUGUUGGUUCAGGUCCUUUACAACGUAUCACAUAUCCAUAUCUAUCUGUUGUUGUUUUUUGAUGAACUGAUGUUAUAAAAUAGAGAACAUUUAAAAUUACGAUUGUAAUACAUGCAUGGUGUUUUGUCCACGUUGUCCCUUGGGUUUUGUGUUCCACAUACAUACAAACUUUUUACAAAUUUAUUAAAUGUUGUGCAUGUUUACUUGUCACUCGUUGGGUCUAUCUGAUAUUUCUUUCAGCUAGUGGAUAUAACAGAGCAGUAAAGAAGACAGUGUUGUUGAAAAGUUAAGUGUUGGAGUAAUGUAGCCGAGAUCUACCUCUACUUCUCUUUACUCCUGUUUCUGCUUCUCAUGUCUCAGAUGGUGUCCUACCAACUUUCUUUAAUUGAUUAUCAAAAUUAAUUUAUUUCAAUCAUCCUGCAUUUUCAAAAUCUCAUUUUUACCAAAACUAAUGCUACCCAUCUGAAGCACACACUCAUAGUAUAUAAAAUAUUAAAAGUUAAAAUAAAUCAAGGAGCAGAUAUAGAAAUUUUUGUUUGGGAGGAGUUUAGUAUUUAAUCCCAUCCCCACCAGGGAGUGUAACACCUCCAUGGAAAGCUCAAGAGUCGAGGAACAAUUUGGUGGGGAUCUGGGUUGUAGAAACCCCUGAUUCAAAAGCUGUGAAUUACGCCCAUCUCCUUAGACAAUCCAUGGGACAAGAGCUUGACUGAUGCUGUAUGGUUCGGUUGGGGCAGGUGUUUUGGAAUAGUCAUGGCGUUUAAAAUAUUAGAUAAACCUUUCUCCCACGUAUUGUCUAUGGAGAAGAGGUUUUUGGCAACCUGGACCCCCACCAAUGUAUUCCUCUACUCAAAUACUAAACUUCAGUCUUUUGUAUCACAAUCUAAACUUGACAAUUACCCCGAUUUUGUAAGUAAUGAAGGACAUACAGUACUAACACUCUACCAGUGGGUUCACAAUAAAUUACAUGUGUUUUAUUUUUUACUUUUGAAUAUGUUCCAGCACGAGCGGUAAGUAAAGAAAUACUUUACGUCCAACCAAAUAUCUUUUUAAACAAUGGUACUAACUUUCUUUUUUAUUUUCUUUUUCAGCAAUUCGUGGACCACGUUCCUGCCUUCAUUCUUUCUCUUCUCCCUUCAGAAGAGAAAGAAUAUCAAUUAAUUAACACACACACACACAACAUAAUUACACAUUUUGAUAGAGUCGUGAUCGAAGGUCUCCUCUUUUAAACUUAUUUAAACGUUAUUGCUUAUUUGGGGUGUCUGUUGUUCGGUUAAAGUAUUAAUUCUCCAUCUUCUUUAAACUUUGUCGUGGUUCUGUUGUCCCAUGUCUCGAUUCGUUACAGGUUGGUUGUAUAUUUGUGGCAACAGUCUCCUCAGUUCUUUAUAAAUACAAAAAAGGGUACCUAGUGAAUUGGUAAUUUUUGGUUUCCACUGUAUCACAUGAAUUGCUUACGAUUUAUGAUUAAUUAUACAGAUAGGUAGGAUAUAUGUAGAGUAUUUAUGGUGUAGGUAUUGUAUAUAUCUACGUACAAGUAGAAUGUAGGCUAAGUUAUGCUCCACAACACCUUACCCCAUUUAGAACGCCCAUGACUCUGUUCUACUACGAGACAAGGUCGACCUCUCGCCCUGAUUUCUUAGCAAGGACUUGAAUAUAUUUGAAUAAGAGGCAAAUUUAAUAUAAAUAAUGUCGUUACAUUCGACGUUUCGUUAGGUAUAUCCGAACAUCGUGACUGUUUCAAAGGUACUACACAAAAAGUGCGUGAUUUUUUAAUCGCCCUUGUUUUGAACUUAUUAAUUUUAU
rnacentral:lncRNA from 1 species